rnacentral:rRNA from 1 species
CACGUAGGGCGCAAGCGUUGUCCGGAAUUAUUGGGCGUAAAGAGCUCGUAGGCGGUUUGUCGCGUCUGCUGUGAAAACUCGGGGCUUAACCCCGGGCCUGCAGUGGGUACGGGCAGACUAGAGUGCGGUAGGGGAGACUGGAAUUCCUGGUGUAGCGGUGAAAUGCGCAGAUAUCAGGAGGAACACCGGUGGCGAAGGCGGCAUCCUGGACCGAGAUUGACGCUGAUGCGCGAAAGCCAGGGGAGCAAACGGG